UGGUAUCUUCGUCGCGGAGUCAUUCUUACUAAAAAUAACCUUAUUAAGAGAAAUUGGCAUGAAAGUCCGCAUUGUGUUUUUUGUCACCAUGAUGAGACAAUAAAACAUUUAUUCUUCCAAUGCAAAUUGGCUCGUUCUAUAUGGCCAGUCAUCCAAAUAGAUUCUGGCUUGUAUCCUCCUUGUAGUGUUGCUAAUGUAUUUGGCAACUGGUUACAUGGGAUUGAUCACAGGUUUAUAACUUUUCUCAGGAUGAGAGCGCUUGCCGUUAUUUGGUCGUUUUGGCUAUGUAGAAAUGAUAAGAUUUUUUAUGGUAAAAGUACUUCUCUGAUGCAGGUUAUUUACAGAUGUAUCGGGACUCUUCGUUUAUGGUCCUUUAUAUAA
rnacentral:rRNA from 1 species